AUAAAACAUAGGUUAUAAUUUUAUAUUGUUAUGAAAAAUGAAACUAGCUAAAAUUUUAUAUACAUCAAUAUUUAUAUUAGAUAAAAGGACAGAAAUAGAAGUAGGAAAAGGAAUAUUUAUGGAUAAAAGCGAGGAUAUAAAAGCGGAACGGUCAUGUCUAUUACAGGCAAAAAAUAUAUGGUUAAAAUCCCCAACGUCAUUGCCACACUCACAUGUGUCGUCAGGCAAAAGGUUAAGCCUUGCCAAAUGCAAGGGUAUGCAUGCAUGGCCCAGCCUCAUACGUAUAAGGGUCGAAGUAAUAUCUUUACCAAGCGUCAAAGUAGAAAACCAUGGUUUAGGAGGUAUAUCCCCCUGAAUCAUGUUGUAAUACCGUCCUUUCGUCUGACUUGAAGAACGCCAAAUGUUUAUCCAAGAUUUUAUUAACUGGGAUUUAGGAAGGAGAGUUAAAUCACAAGAAAAUUUUUUGUAUGGAACCAGGUCUCCGUCAUUGACCGCAGCUUUGGCAAGCCUAUCAGCCUUGGUAUUGCCAAAGAUACCUGAGUGACCCGGAAUCCAAGCAAAAGAUACAGUGUACUUUUUGAUGAAGCAUUGAUAUAAUAAAUCGCGACAUGCAAUAAUUACUGGGUGAUUAUUUAUAUUACGGCUAAAAGGAAAUCUUUUCAACGCUUGGAGGACACUUUUAGCGUCAGUUAAAAUUAUUGACUUUUUAAGCUUCAUUAUUAAAAUGUACUCCAGAGACCUCAGCAGACCAAAGCAUUCUCCAGUAAAUACUGAAGUCUCUGGAGGUAAUUUUAUUUUCUGUACAAUGUCAAACUGUUGAUGGAAAACGCCAAUUCCCACACACUCCUCGGGACCGGGUUUGGAAGCAUCACAAAAAAUUAAAUGGUAAUGUUUCCAUUGGCUGUCACUGUCAAUAAUAUCAGUAAAUUUGGCAUUUGCAGAAAGAUCUUGUUUACUUAUACCGAAGUCAAACAAAAUAGUAGGAUCUAAUGUUAAUGCAUCAUAGUUAACACAAAAUAUAGGAAGGAAUUGUGAUCUGUGUGUUGGAGCUUGAAGAGCUAAGUAUUUUUGGAGACUAAUAAUAAGGCAUGGCGGCGAUUUAUGAGCCCAGUACGGGUAAUUCAUACAUUCCAACAGAGACCGUAACUUAGAAUAAAGAGGAUGAUUAUAGACUUGUAAUGCCCUAAACAGGAACCUGUCACAAAGAAAUUGUCGUCUGAGGUGCAGGGGAGCUUCAGAACAUUCGACCUGCAAAGCGUUAAUAGGGCUCGAUCUCAUAGCCCCAGUAAUUAUUCUCAGAGCCUUAGACUGGAUAAUGUUUAACUUAUGGAGAGCUACUGCACUACAGGGUUCAAGUAUAAAUGUUCCAUAGUCUAAAAUACUCCUUAUUAGUGCAUUAUAUAGAAGCUUUAAAGAGAAAGGGUGGGCUCCCCACCAAACUCCAGAGAGACAACGCAGUAUAUUUAGGAUCUUCUCACAUUUGGCACUUAUAUAUUUGCAAUGAGAGCUUCCUGUAAGUUUCGAGUCUAAAAUUACCCCAAGAAAUGUUGCUUCACUUUUAACAGGAACUCUAAUAUUAUUAUAAAAUACAGUUACUGAUGGAGGAAGUCUCAUACGUGAAAAUAAGACUAUUAUACUUUUAUGAACUGAAAGGCUUAGAGAGUUAUUGUCCAGCCAGACUUUUAGCAACUGAAGGGAAUAUGUCAUAGUAUCAGAUAUGUUGUCAAUAGAAUUACCUGAGAUAUAUAAGAGUAAAUCAUCUGCAUAUUGGAGUGAGUUAACUUUACCCUUAAGGGAGGCUUCCAGAUCAUGAGAAUAUAUAUUGUAAAGUAAGGGACUCAAAACUGAUCCCUGUGGUAAACCUUUCCAGGCAAUACGGGAUUGAAUUAUAAGGUUGACAUUAUCAUAGGCUGCAGACACAUCUAAGAAUGCUGCUAUCACAGGCUUGUUGUAUGAAAAUGCCAAUCUUAAGUCUGUCAUAAAUAUACUGAGACUAUCCAUAGUA